rnacentral:lncRNA from 12 species
GGCGGCAGAGCCGGUCUUACCCUCACCAGGCAUGGCCGGGCAAAGCGGAUCGACAGUGUGAACUCAGUUCUACCAUGGAAAGUGGGACGGCCAAAGCCCACACCACAUCUGAGGCUUUGUGCCAGCAGCCCCAGGUCUGGACAUAGACAGGGAGAAACAUGGCAGCCCACCUGCCUGGACACCACAAAGAGGAAAAGCUGCAUUCAGGGGCUCCCUGCCCCCCUCCCCAGUCCCAACGCAGCCAAGGUCCCACUCCUCCUGAGGCACUCUGGCUCUUCCUUGACCUGGUCUGCCUGUGGCAACCUCACACAUGGUUUUGGAGCUACCCUUGUCUCAGGCCCAUGUCUGCAUAAAUCAGCAGAUUCUUACAACCAGAAAACGAACAAACAGAAACAGAGACCCCCCGAGCCCCCAGGAUUGCCGAGCCUACACACCAGUUGCCCUGUGACCCAGGCAGCGAGAGACCCUUGGCCCAGACCCUCUUCCUUCUCACCUCGAAAGGCCUCUCCUGAGGCCCGUAUCAGUUGUGGCUGCUUGGAUUCUGGAGCCCCUGUUCAUAGCCCCCACCUGCCACGGGGUCUGGAUUUACAAGGGCUCCCAGCUCUGCUCCUCGUCGAAGGCGACGAACCAGUGUGCCCUUCCAGAAAGUGCAUGGUCAAAUGCCAAAGUCAAUUGCAAUGCAAAUAGCCAGAGAAAUGUACUUGAUUUACAGCCUGUGGUUUAACUGCUUUCAUGAGCCAUCAGGAAACCAGCCUUGAAAUAAUUCCUGGAGAAAGCACAGGUCAGCUGGAGACCACCAGGGCUGAUGUUGUAAGGAAGAGGAGUUUGAACUUCCAGAAGAGAAAAUAAAGCCUGAUGUGGAACAAGUUGCUCA